ACGGAAGGCAGCAGUGAGGAAUAUUGGUCAAUGGUCGGAAGACUGAACCAGCCAAGUCGCGUGCAGGAAGACGGUCCUAUGGAUUGUAAACUUCUUUUGUAGAUGGAUAAACGACAUUACGUGUAAUGUUUUGAAGGUAAUCUACGAAUAAGCAUCGGCUAACUCCGUGCCAGCAGCCGCGGUAAUACGGAGGAUGCGAGCGUUGUCCGGAGUUAUUGGGUUUAAAGGGUGCGCAGGCGGGCGAUUAAGUCAGCGGUGAAAUCUCGGAGCUCAACUCUGAAACUGCCGUUGAUACUGGUUGUCUUGAGUCAUGUCGAGGAUGGCGGAAUGCAGCGUGUAGCGGUGAAAUGCUUAGAUAGGCUGCAGAACUACGAUUGCGAAGGCAGCUGUCCAGAGAUGAACUGACGCUCAGGCACGAAAGCAUGGGUAUCAAACAGGAUUAGAUACCCUGGUA
rnacentral:rRNA from 1 species